rnacentral:rRNA from 1 species
AGUGAACGCUGGCGGCGUGCUUAAUACAUGCAAGUCGAACGAUGAAGUCCUAGCUUGCUAGGAUGGAUUAGUGGCGCACGGGUGAGUAAUAUAUAGUUAAUCUGCCUUGCACUGAGGAACAACAGUUGGAAACGAUUGCUAAUACCUCAUACUCCAACUUUACAUAAGUUAAGUUGGGAAAGUCUUUUCGGUGCAAGAUGAGACUAUAUCGUAUCAGCUAGUUGGUAAGGUAAUGGCUUACCAAGGCUAUGACGCGUAACUGGUCUGAGAGGAUGAUCAGUCACAUGGGAACUGAGACACGGUCCAAACUCCUACGGGAGGCAGCAGUAAGGAAUAUUGUGCAAUGGGGGAAACCCUGACGCAGCAACGCCGCGUGGAGGAUGACACUUUUCGGAGCGUAAACUCCUUUUGUUAGGGAAGAAUAAUGACGGUACCUAACGAAUAAGCACCGGCUAACUCCGUG